AACGAACGCUGGCGGCAGGCUUAACACAUGCAAGUCGAACGCCCCGCAAGGGGAGUGGCGCACGGGUGAGUAACGCGUGGAUAUCUGCCUUUUGGUUCGGAAUAACCCCGGGAAACUGGGGCUAAUACCGGAUGGUUCCUACGGGAUAAAGAUUUAUCGCCAAAAGAUGAGUCCGCGUACGAUUAGCUAGUUGGUGAGGUAAUGGCUCACCAAGGCGACGAUCGUUAGCUGGUCUGAGAGGACGAUCAGCCACACUGGGACUGAGACACGGCCCAGACUCCUACGGGAGGCAGCAGUGGGGAAUAUUGGACAAUGGGGGCAACCCUGAUCCAGCCAUGCCGCGUGAGUGAUGAAGGCCUUCGGGUUGUAAAGCUCUUUUGGCGGGGACGAUGAUGACGGUACCCGCAGAAUAAGCCCCGGCUAACUUCGUGCCAGCAGCCGCGGUAACAC
rnacentral:rRNA from 1 species